rnacentral:rRNA from 1 species
GAUGAACGCUGGCGGCGUGCCUAAUACAUGCAAGUCGAGCGAAUGGAUUAAGAGCUUGCUCUUAUGAAGUUAGCGGCGGACGGGUGAGUAACACGUGGGUAACCUGCCCAUAAGACUGGGAUAACUCCGGGAAACCGGGGCUAAUACCGGAUAACAUUUUGAACCGCAUGGUUCGAAAUCGAAAGGCGGCUUCGGCUGUCACUUAUGGAUGGACCCGCGUCGCAUUAGCUAGUUGGUGAGGUAACGGCUCACCAAGGCAACGAUGCGUAGCCGACCUGAGAGGGUGAUCGGCCACACUGGGACUGAGACACGGCCCAGACUCCUACGGGAGGCAGCAGUAGGGAAUCUUCCGCAAUGGACGAAAGUCUGACGGAGCAACGCCGCGUGAGUGAUGAAGGCUUUCGGGUCGUAAAACUCUGUUGUUAGGGAAGAACAAGUGCUGGUUGAAUAAGCUGGCACCUUGACGGUACCUAACCAGAAAGCCACGGCUAACUACGUGCCAGCAGCCGCGGUAA